ACGCUCGACACCUACGGGAGGCAGCAGUAGGGAAUAUUGGACAAUGGAGGAAACUCUGAUCCAGUGACGCCGCGUGAAGGAAGAAGGUCUUCGGAUUGUAAACUUAUUUUGUCAGGGAAGAAAAAAUGACUGUACCUGAAGAAAAAGCACCGGCUAACUACGUGCCAACAGCCGCGGUAAUCUGAGCGGGCUGGCAAGGC
rnacentral:rRNA from 1 species